rfam:Picea glauca, whole genome shotgun sequence.
GUGAUAUUUGCAAGGAGAGAAAACUAGUACCCCCUUAUCAAGCAUGGAAAAUAUUUCAUCAACACACAUAGUUAAAUGUAGAACUUCUCUAGUAAUUUCC